rnacentral:sRNA from 1 species
AUGAAAUGAAGGAAAGGCCGGGCUGAGCAGCCCGGCCUUUCCUUCGUUCAUG